rnacentral:rRNA from 1 species
CCUACGGGAGGCAGCAGUCGAGAAUUUUUCUCAAUGGGGGAAACCCUGAAGGAGCGACGCCGCGUGGAGGAUGAAGGUCUUCGGGUUGUAAACUCCUGUCAUUUGGGAACUAGUACCAGAAGAGGAAGAGACGGCUAACUCUGUGCCAGCAGCCGCGGUAAUACAGAGGUCUCAAGCGUUGUUCGGAUUCAUUGGGCGUAAAGGGUGCGUAGGUGGCGCCAUAAGUCAGGUGUGAAAUCUCGGGGCUUAACUCCGAAACUGCAUUUGAUACUGUGGUGCUUGAGGACUGGAGAGGAGACUGGAAUUUACGGUGUAGCAGUGAAAUGCGUAGAGAUCGUAAGGAAGACCAGUGGCGAAGGCGGGUCUCUGGACAGUCCUGACACUGAGGCACGAAGGCCAGGGGAGCAAACGGGAUUAGAUACCCUUGUAGUC